UUUUUUUUUUUUUAUCUCUUGCAGGAAAUUUCAUCUUUAAACAAUGGCAAGGGCUUACGGAGAAGACUCAGACUGUUUAAGGAAUAUAAUCUUCAAACACUGGGAAGGGAUAACCAGCCAGCAUAUGGAGACAUCUUCAAUUGCUUUAACAAAGAAUUGUCUAAGCAGGUGUCCUUUUGGUGUCUUUGCAAGUGAGGAUCGGUGGAGGACUUUGUGUGUUUCCAUGGGGUUUAUUUAUGAUUUUCACUUUAACUCUUACAAAUUAACAAAGGUUCUUCUAAUUCUAUAUGUGCAGACUUGUGAGAUGGUUUGGAGGAUAAUGUUCCAUUACAAAAACUUGGUCGCCGUGCGUGCUCACAGUGUAACAACAUGAAGCUGAUUCUAUAGUGAUUGAUGCUCUUUGACUCUACAAAGGUUUUCACGAUGGAUCUCCCUGAAUUGCAUCUUUAAAAAAUGGCAAGGGAUAGCCAUCAAAGGGAGAAAUCUUGAGUGUGUAAGCAGGUAAAAAUGGCAAGGGAUAGCCAUCAAAGGAACCUUCUUUUCACUUGGAGUUUGCAAAAGACAUCUUCAAUGGAGUUUGAAAAAGACAUCUUCAAUGAUCCUAUGGAAGGUUCAAGGCUCCUACUGAUGCUGGAAGAUUCCGAGCUGAACUACAACCGGCUGGUUGAGGGUUUAGCACUCACUUAUCUGGCAAGUAUGUGUUCACUGAGAGGAGAGAUGAAGAAGAUUUAGAACAGAGGGAUGGUUUACAAACUUCUUCAUUCUUAAACCAUACUUGGUUUACAAACUAACGAUGGUUCUUCUAAUUCUAUGUGCAGAUCGGUGAGAUGGUUUGAAGAAUAAUGUUUCAUAACAAAAAAACUUGGCCGGCGACCGUGCUCACAGUGCAACAACAUUAAACUGAUUCUUGUCCACUUCAAAUUAUACAUCCAUAAGUGUUGCUAGCUUCUCCAGAUGGAGUUAUAAGGUUCCCUAUCAUCCGAUGGAAAAAAAUCUCUUCUUCAUCUGUAAGUAAACUCAAAACCCUCUUUGCCUUUCUUUGUUUUGUUCUGUUUCAAGUUUACUAAAUCCGAUCCAGACAAUGUGCGACUUUGCAACUCUUGUUUGGAUGCAUGCCCGGGGAUUUUCCAUCAUGACCGGAGAAUGCCUGAUAUUUCAGAUCCUAUACUGCAGAUUUAUAUGGUGUUGAUCUACUUUCUUUUGAGUAUUGUCACUGUGGUGUCAAAGAUAUUAUGACUCAAAUGUGAAUGCUACCGUUUGAAUACCUGAGAAUAAUAUAGCCGAGAAUUAUAUAGUUUUGUAUCUUAGUUGAGCUGUCGUGAUACGUCUUUGGCGGUCAAACCGGUGUUUGAUCGUUUCGAAUCAGUCAUGUUUACAUCAGGCACGUUGAGCCCAGUUGAUCUUCACCCUUGUCCAUUCAUGUUGUUAGUUGAAGUUUUAAGCAUCUUGUUAGUUGAAGCUUUAAGAUGUCAAUGACAGAGACUGCAUCUGCCCUAUGGUGCUUACUCGGGGAAGGUAUGCGGUUUAUUAAAAAAUAUCCUGAACACUUACCUUAUUUGACCGCCAAAGACAGUCAGCUUUCUGUUAGCACCAAAUCUGACAUGAGAAGUGAUCCUGGACUCCUGGUGUUGUGAGGAGUUACGGAAAGCUUUUUGGUAGAGAUGGUAUCUAUUGUUCCUGAUGGAGUUGUCUGCUUCUUUUUUAGUUACUCAUACAUGGAUGGCAUUAUUGCUACAUGGAAUGAAACUGCAAUUCUGAAGGAAAUAUUGCAACAGAAGCUUGUUUUCAUCGAAACACUAGAUGUUAUAGAAACAACAUUGGCAGUGGAUAAUUAUCGCAGGGCUUGCGAUUGCCGAAGAGGCUUCUCACGUAGUCACGUUUACUCCUCCGCCAACUGAAACCCUUUAAUCGCCGCAGAGGUUUCUCACGUUGACUCCUCCGUCAACGAAAACCAAACAGAUGAUUGACAUAGAAUCAAUUCAUAUGAGAUAUCUUCAUGUAAGCAAACAUGGCAAAGUACAUGAUGGUUUUUAGUCAAUAGUGUGUGCAACGGAGAAGCAAUUUAAAAAAAAAAACUAAAGUACGUCGCUCGAAGGGCCCCUAUUGAACCAAUUCAAGUCCAUGAAACCUCUAUCCCUCCAUUAUUUUUCAUUCGGGCCUUAUAUCCAUGUCAUUUUCCGUU